rnacentral:rRNA from 1 species
GACAGAGGGUGCAAACGUGUUCGGAAUUACUGGGCGUAAAGCGAGUGUAGGCGGUUUGGUAAGUCGGAUGUGAAAGCCCUGGGCUCAACCCAGGAAGUGCAUUCGAUACUGUCAAGCUAGAGUAUCGGAGAGGUUGGUGGAAUCUCGGUGUAGAGGUGAAAAUCGUAGAUAUCGAGAGGAACACCGGUGGCGGAAGGCGG